UUGCUCAUCCGCUGGUAUUUUUCUCCUAGAUGAGUUGUUAAGUCGAAAUGAACAGCUGAAUGCCCAGGUGGACAUCUUAACUUUUGAAUUAAAGCAGCUUAAAAAGCAACAGGACACCAUCAGUUUGCUGAAGGAGAGCCAAAGGUCUCUUGUUUCCACAAACAACUUCCUUCUACAGCAGCUGAAUAAAGAACAAGACCCUUCCGUAGGCAAAACCGGCCGUCUUUCGGAGAAGAUUCCUGAUGCUCCUUGUCAUGCCUCUUGCCCUGCGAGAACGUCCCAUCAUGCUUCCCUUACCUCUCCCAUUGCUUGGAAUCCAGAAAUGUUAAGCGGCUGUCCUCUCUGACAGAAUGCACAGAAUCACUUUCUUCCCAUGGUGACUGUCUUACAAAUUAUGCUUCGUUUUCACAUAGCCAAUCAAUCAAUCUCUUUAUUACAGGCAGUGACAAGUAUUCUUCAUUUUCACAUAAGUAUAGUAUGAAAGCCUGUUGG